UACGUAGGGUGCAAGCGUUGUCCGGAAUCACUGGGCGUAAAGGGUGCGUAGGCGGGUCUUAAGUCAGGGGUGAAAUCCUGGAGCUCAACUCCAGAACUGCCUUUGAUACUGAAGAUCUUGAGUUCGGGAGAGGUGAGUGGAACUGCGAGUGUAGAGGUGAAAUUCGUAGAUAUUCGCAAGAACACCAGUGGCGAAGGCGGCUCACUGGCCCGAUACUGACGCUGAGGCACGAAAGCGUGGGGAGCAAACAGG
rnacentral:rRNA from 1 species